rnacentral:rRNA from 1 species
GACGAACGCUGGCGGCGUGCUUAACACAUGCAAGUCGAACGAAGUGGCGAACGGGUGAGUAACGCGUAAUCAACCUGCCCUUCAGAGGGGGACAACAGUUGGAAACGACUGCUAAUACCGCAUACUGAAGGAGGGGAUUGCGUGUGAUUAGCUAGUUGGAGGGGUAACGGCCAACCAAGGCGAUGAUCAGUAGCCGGGCUGGGAGGAUGAACCGCCCAAUUGGGACUGGGACACGGCCCAGACUCCUUCGGGAGGCAGCAGGGGGGAAUCUUCCGCAAUGGACGAAAGUCUGAAGGAGCAACGCCGCGUGAGUGAUGAAGGCCUUCGGGUUGUAAAGCUCUGUUAAUCGGGACGCGGUACCGGAAUAGAAAGCAACGGCUAACUACGUGCCAGCCGCCGCGGUAAUAC